UACACUUUGACGUCAAGAUACAGUGCAGC
rnacentral:piRNA from 1 species